GUGCUUGCUUCUGCAGCACAUACACCAAAACUGGAAUGAUACAGAGAAGAUUAGCAUGGUCCCUGCACAAGGAUGACAUGCAGAUUAGUAAAGCGUUCCAUAUUUUU